UCAAGAUGGUAAGGGCCCACGGUGGAUGCCUCGGCACCCGAGCCGAUGAAGGACGUGGCUACCUGCGAUAAGCCAGGGGGAGCCGGUAGCGGGCGUUGAUCCCUGGAUGUCCGAAUGGGGGAACCCGGCCGGCGCGAACGCCGGUCACCGCGCUUUUUGCGCGGGGGGAACCUGGGGAACUGAAACAUCUCAGUACCCAGAGGAGAGGAAAGAGAAAUCGACUCCCUGAGUAGCGGCGAGCGAAAGGGGACCAGCCUAAACCGUCCGGCUUGUCCGGGCGGGGUCGUGGGGCCCUCGGACACCGAAUCCCCAGCCUAGCCGAAGCUGUUGGGAAGCAGCGCCAGAGAGGGUGAAAGCCCCGUAGGCGAAAGGUGGGGGGAUAGGUGAGGGUACCCGAGUACCCCGUGGUUCGUGGAGCCAUGGGGGAAUCUGGGCGGACCACCGCCUAAGGCUAAGUACUCCGGGUGACCGAUAGCGCACCAGUACCGUGAGGGAAAGGUGAAAAGAACCCCGGGAGGGGAGUGAAAUAGAGCCUGAAACCGUGGGCUUACAAGCAGUCACGGCCCCGCAAGGGGUUGUGGCGUGCCUAUUGAAGCAUGAGCCGGCGACUCACGGUCGUGGGCGAGCUUAAGCCGUUGAGGCGGAGGCGUAGGGAAACCGAGUCCGAACAGGGCGUCUAGUCCGCGGCCGUGGACCCGAAACCGGGCGAGCUAGCCCUGGCCAGGGUGAAGCUGGGGUGAGACCCAGUGGAGGCCCGAACCGGUGGGGGAUGCAAACCCCUCGGAUGAGCUGGGGCUAGGAGUGAAAAGCUAACCGAGCCCGGAGAUAGCUGGUUCUCCCCGAAAUGACUUUAGGGUCAGCCUCAGGCGCUGACUGGGGCCUGUAGAGCACUGAUAGGGCUAGGGGGCCCACCAGCCUACCAAACCCUGUCAAACUCCGAAGGGUCCCAGGUGGAGCCUGGGAGUGAGGGCGCGAGCGAUAACGUCCGCGUCCGAGCGCGGGAACAACCGAGACCGCCAGCUAAGGCCCCCAAGUCUGGGCUAAGUGGUAAAGGAUGUGGCGCCGCGAAGACAGCCAGGAGGUUGGCUUAGAAGCAGCCAUCCUUUAAAGAGUGCGUAAUAGCUCACUGGUCGAGUGGCGCCGCGCCGAAAAUGAUCGGGGCUUAAGCCCAGCGCCGAAGCUGCGGGUCUGGGGGAUGACCCCAGGCGGUAGGGGAGCGUUCCCGAUGCCGAUGAAGGCCGACCCGCGAGGGCGGCUGGAGGUAAGGGAAGUGCGAAUGCCGGCAUGAGUAACGAUAAAGAGGGUGAGAAUCCCUCUCGCCGUAAGCCCAAGGGUUCCUACGCAAUGGUCGUCAGCGUAGGGUUAGGCGGGACCUAAGGUGAAGCCGAAAGGCGUAGCCGAAGGGCAGCCGGUUAAUAUUCCGGCCCUUCCCGCAGGUGCGAUGGGGGGACGCUCUAGGCUAGGGGGACCGGAGCCAUGGACGAGCCCGGCCAGAAGCGCAGGGUGGGAGGUAGGCAAAUCCGCCUCCCAAAAGCUCUGCGUGGUGGGGAAGCCCGUACGGGUGACAACCCCCCGAAGCCAGGGAGCCAAGAAAAGCCUCUAAGCACAACCUGCGGGAACCCGUACCGCAAACCGACACAGGUGGGCGGGUGCGAGAGCACUCAGGCGCGCGGGAGAACCCUCGCCAAGGAACUCUGCAAGUUGGCCCCGUAACUUCGGGAGAAGGGGUGCUCCCUGGGGUGAUGAGCUCCGGGGAGCCGCAGUGAACAGGCUCUGGCGACUGUUUACCAAAAACACAGCUCUCUGCGAACUCGUAAGAGGAGGUAUAGGGAGCGACGCUUGCCCGGUGCCGGAAGGUCAAGGGGAGGGGUGCAAGCCCCGAACCGAAGCCCCGGUGAACGGCGGCCGUAACUAUAACGGUCCUAAGGUAGCGAAAUUCCUUGUCGGGUAA
rnacentral:rRNA from 1 species